CCUACACAAAACCUAAAAAUAUCAGACAAUAAUCAUUUCCUCAUAAAUUUUUCGGCCUUUACUCCACCUGAAAUCGAGAGAGAAAGUGGAGGCGCCUGAGAGUGGAGAUGCCGUGAAAUUCAAGGAGAAAUUGAGAAGAAGAAGCUGUUCUGAAUUGAGAUCGAGUAGGGAAAUGGGAAUUAUAAGAUUCUUGAUGUGAUUCUGCGUUUGAAUCGUGAAUAACAGACAGAAACUGAUUGUUUUUGUUGAUGAUGGUUGAACUGGUCAGUAAGUAUAGAUUCAUGAAGAACUAGGGUUUAUAAUGACCAAAGGAGAUGGGGGUUUCUAUCGAAAUUACGUUUAAGAGCAAGAAAUGAAGGAAUCAAGAAGAAUCUGUGAUGAGUUGGAAGUUAGGGUUUAAUGGAAAUAGUUCUGUUACUGAUGAUUUUCAAGGGUUUGUAUGAGAUCUGAAAUGGAAUUUGUUGGUUGGAUUUGGUAGAGAAUUGUGUCUUUUUUAUGCUUGAAAUUCAGGUGGAAAGAAGUUGUGAAGACAUGGCUUUUGUUGAAUGUUUGUGUGAAUCUGUGGCUCGAAUUAGUGUGGUGGUUGUAGCUCAAGAUUGCAGGUUGGUUUGGGUUCGAAAUAAUGAACAUCUAGUUUGAACCAGGGAAGUUAUUGGUGCUGCUGUUGAGAUUGAGAUAAUGCAAUGAACCCGUGAUGCUGUCUAGAUGAAUGUUAGAGCAGGCUUGAGCUGUUGCAAUGGAAGAUGGUCCGAGACAUAAGUAGAAUGCAGGAAAGGGUGCAGUUGCUUCUAAGGGUGAUUUGAAGUCCUGUGGCAGGUGAAGGAACUGUAUUGCUUUUGGAUUGAGAUGGUUGUGCUGGUGACAGCAAGGAAAUGGCUGUGUUUUUGCAGUUGGCAUUGAAAUAGCAACAUUGCAGCUGAAGUGAAGCUCAAAUGGUGACUUGGUGUUGUUGUUGUUACAUAGAAGCUUGAGGAAGUGGUGGACAAGACUAAGAUGGAGUAACUGUGUCAGGUGGUGAUUGUUAUGGAUAGAAAUGGUGAUGCAGCAGUGGUGGUAAGUUUGAAUUCUCAGGUAUUGAAGCUGCAAAGUGGAACUACAGAGUGAUGCAGGUGAGAUGAAGCAUUACAGGUAGUGUUGAUGGUAUGAUGAGUAGUGCAGUUCAGGGUGAUGGCUUGAGAUGAACACAAGAGGACGAUGUGUGUUGAGUUUGCCAUAGUAUUGUUGGCGUUCUCAGGAUUGAGCUAAACAUAGAGCUGUUGCUGGUGAAAUACAAAGAGGAAGUUUCCUGGGAAUGUGCUAGAGAAAGAGCAAGUAAAGAUGGGUCUGGUUGAUGUUGCAGCUGCGAAAGAUAGCAUUGAUGUGCACUUUAUGACAAAUUUGUAGAUGUAUGUAGGCUGCAGACAGGGAAGAAAUGUUUUGAACUGAGAUGAAGUCCUGUGCUCCAUAUAAGAGAUGGGUUAUGAAUUGAGUUGAUCUUGCUGAGAGAAUGGGACUGCAAGUAAGAAGCAGUGGUGAAUGCAAUGAGGUUGAAGUAAAUGUGAGUUGCAGGAAUGUAGAUGCAUGUAUAGGAAUCGAUGUUGCAGCAGCUGAAGUAGAGUUUGUAAUUGGAUUUGAAGGAAAUGGAUGCAUGACACUGCGCAGGAAAUGGAUUUUGAAGCUGCAAAAAUUGUGCGGAAAUGUAGUGAGAAUGGUGAGCCGGCAGUACCAGUUCUGGUUAUUGGAUUUCUGAAAUUGAAGCAUGAAUCAUAAUAUUUCAGUGAAUCAUAAAGAUAGAGCGUGUUGGAUGCAAGAUUUGGCCGUGGGAUAUAUGAGUUUGGAGUCGCGCUUUUGGGUAUGUUUUCGCAAGAACAAGGAAUUG